UUGUGUUUCGUUUUUCUUUCUUUUUUCUCUUUUUGUUUUUUGUUCUUUAUUUAGUUAUAAAUAAACGGUGUAGAA
rnacentral:ribozyme from 12 species